CCUACGGGUGGCAGCAGUGAGGAAUAUUGGUCAAUGGGCGGGAGCCUGAACCAGCCAAGCCGCGUGAGGGAAGAAGGUACAGCGUAUCGUAAACCUCUUUUGUCAGGGAACAAAGGCGGGGACUAGUCCCCGGAUGAGGGUACCUGAAGAAAAAGCAUCGGCUAACUCCGUCCCAGCAGCCGCGGUAAUCCGGAGGAGGCGAGCGUUAUCCGGAUUUAUUGGGUUUAAGGGGUGCGCAGGCGGCCUGUUAAGUCAGCGGUAAAAGGCCGGGGCUCAACCCCGGCGAGCCGUUGAAACUGGCUGGCUGGAGUGGGAGAGAAGUACGCGGAAGGCGCGGUGUAGCGGUGAAAUGCUUAGAUAUCGCGCAGAACCCCGAUUGCGAAGGCAGCGUACCGGCUCCACACUGACGCUGAGGCACGAAAGCGUGGGUAUCGAACAGGAUUAGAUACCCUGGUAGUC
rnacentral:rRNA from 1 species